CACACAUCAUAAAAAGAAGCAAUAUGGCAUUUUCUACCCAUGUGGAAAGACCAAUUAUCCUAAACUAAGCCUGAGGUUUAAUACCUCUGCAUUUCUCAAAUGGUUCUCAUGACUCUUUCACUAUAAUUCUGCUGCUUUAUUUUUUCUUGUACUGAGAAAAGAGAACUAACUAAGGUCCUAUUUUUGUUCCCUUUUUCAUAGGUGAAGUAACUGGAGCUUAGAGAGAUUAUUUUGUCACUUUCCCGUGUCACAGCUUCCAGUGAUGGGGUUUGGCUCUGAAGCCACAGGGUGGCUGUCUGCACCUUUCAACUCAACUCUGGAUCACUGCCUCCCACCCAUCAGUCCUUCACCUCUGCCUUGUCUUCACCUCUCACAGGCUGCUGGCCAGAAACCAAUGUGGGUAACAUGCCUGUGAAAUGUGCUGCCUCAGUUGUUGGUGGAAGGACUUCAUGAGUCAGAAUGGAAGGCUUUCCUAGGACCAGCCAACAAACUGCAUUUCCAGGUGAUCUGAUCCAUUGCCCACUCAGGAGUCCCAGGGCAAGAAGGAAACUAUUUUUCAGAGAUGCGCGUUAUUACCCUGUUUGUGUUUUGAGCAUCGCAUUAAAGAAAAUGUUGAAAGCGGUGUUGGGUCUGGAAGCGCCUCGAUCUGCAGGAGGAUUUGUAAGUUUUCUCUCCAGGUCAGCACUUGCUCAGAACUGGUACUGAGGGAAGAGCAGGAGGCAAUUAGAUAGCUGGGUGAGGAAGGCAAGGGUGAGAACUCGGAGUCACUUGGAGCGAUAGAAGGAAGGGUGGUUCUUUCCCUCCAUACCAAAAGAUCAGAGCUACCCUUUGAAACCCUGACUGUGGUCUGGCUAGGUGGCAAAUACUCCCUCCUGCAUGCCAGAAAGAAAACAAAUGCUGAGCCUUUGGAACACCAUCUGCUGAGCAUCUCUUGGUACAUGCUGGCUGCCUGAUUUUGAGGGAUUCAGAAGUUAUUUAUGUUUCAAGCUUGAACAACAAUCUCUAAACACUGUCUUCCCUACCAGGAUACCAUUUCCCCUCUUCCAUGAGAGGUCUAUGAGCUCUCUGAUCACUCCAGUGGGAAGAAGCUGUCAAGUCAGUUUAUCUGGAGCUUCUACUUUGGGGAGGAAAAAACUAUUUUUUAACAAAAGUGGACAGAGUUGUGAAGUGUAUCUAAUAAGGCUGGCUUUGGCACCUGGAAACAGAGCAUUCAUCCUAAAUAUCUUCUAGCAGGUAGGCAGGUAUCCGAGUUACAAUGUAUAGUGCUGGCUAAGUCUGGAGCGAAAGCCAAGCACACCCAGUGUCUCCACCUGUCAGAGCAGUCAAGAAGGAGCAGCAAGCACCAUCGGGAUUUCAUCCCAGGAGAACGUUUAUUCUGCGCAUGUUCGUUUGUUUGUAUCAGUCUUAUUGUGACUUUUUAUUUAGUUUUUCCUUUUGUUGAAUAACCAAUUUUUUUUAAAAAAGAAUGUAUUUAUUUUUAAUUAACAAGUGAAAAUUGCAUAUGUCACAGUGUUCAACAUAAUGAUUUGAUAUAUAUGUGCAUUGUGUAAUGGCUAAAUCAAGCUAUUUAACAUAUACAUUACCUUACAUACUUAUUUUUGUUUUUGUUGUGACAUGGAUGCUUAAAAUCUACUUUCUUAGCACUUUUCAAAUGUACAAUUAUAUGGUUAUUAACGCUUGUCACCAUAAUGUACACUAGAUCUCUUGAAUUUAUUCUAUUAAAAUGUUGUAUCUUUUGACUGCCAUCUCCCUAAUCCCCUCACCUCCUAGCCUAUUACGACCACCAUUUUACUCUCUGUUUCAAUGAUUUUGACUUAUUUUACACUUCGCAUAUAAAUGAGAUCAUGUGAUAUUUGAUUUUCUGUGCAAAGGAACAGGUUUGUGGAUAACAUUUUCCUCUGUUGUUUUUCUUUUCGUGUACUGUCCAUAUUUUCAUGUUUUCUGUAAUGAGUAUAUAUUACUUUACAUCUCAGAAAAAGGUCUUUAACAAAUAGGAAUGAAAACUUCACUCAUAUCAGGUACUGACCUCCCAUGCCCUUGGAUUAUGAUGAGGGUUGGGGAGAGGUGAGAGAAUGAUGAUAAUAACGAUGACCCAGGCCUUAUUUUAAGGCUUUCUCCCUGCCUCACUGCCCGCCCCACCACACACCACCAAUUAAUGAAGAGAUCUACAAACUGCUCUGUUUCAAAAACUAUCGUGAGUUUAGAUACUAUUUGGGAAUUAUUAUUGAAUUUUCCUGGGGGUAAUAAUAUGUUGAGGAUAUAUAGGAGAAACUCUGUAUUUGUAGAAAAUACAGGUGGCGAUGUUGAAGGAUGAAGUAUCAUAAUGUCUGCUGCUUAUUUUAAAAUGGUCAGAUAAAAAGACAAAUACGAAGCGAAUAUGACGAAAUGUUCACAGUUGUUGAGUGAUUGUUAUAUGUGUAUUCCUGGCACCCUUCUUUUAACUUUUCUAUUCAUUUCAAAAUUUAUGUGAUAGAAAAUUAGAAACCAAAGCAGUCACUGCUAUCAGUCUCCCCUUACUUUCAGCAUUUCUUUUUUUAAAAUUUUGUCUUGCUUCUUUCUUACCUUGUCCUCACCUGCCUGAACCAGCAUUGAGGCAUGGCUGGUGGGGAAGCAUGUUCAUGGUGGGGACGAGAAAAGACAUCAUUCUGAAAACUCAUCAAUGCCAUCCUUCCUGCCAUUUGACACCCAGCACACCUGUCUUCUGACACCUGUGUGUGCGCACAAGACUAUUUAUUGCACUGUUGUUAAUAAUACGUUUAAAUUGGAAGUAGCCUUCAUUUCCAUCAUAAGGAGCGUGGUUAAAUAGUUGAAAGCACAUCUAUAUAUCAAAGUACCAUGCAAGCUAAGGCAAGUUUGUAUGUGUUUUUUUAUUUUAUUAUUUAAGUAGUUCAGAAAAUAGCAAAAGGGAAAGCAAAAACAAAUCACUUAAUUUCCCACCCUUAGAAACAACUGACCAGACACAGAUUGGCAUCCUAGUACUAAUGUGGGUACUUUAUAUGGAUGUCCCAAAAGAGAAUAUCUACAUGGCUACUGAACAUAUAAAAAGAUACUCAAUAUAAUUGGUAAUCCGGGAAAUGAAAAUGGAAGCUUAAUGAGGUAUAUCUAUACACCACCCACACUGGCUGAAAUAAAAGAGUCUCAUGCUGUAAGGUGUGAGGGAGGAUGUGGAACAACUGGAAUGCAUACACACUGUAAUUGGGAGUGUAAAUUAGUAUAGCCACCUUGGAAAAGCAAUUGGGCAUUGUAUAAUAAAGUUAGAGAUACACAUACUCUAUGAAUAUAUCCUGCAAUUAUUCCCAAUUGAAAUUCAUGCAUAUAUACAGCAGGGUACAUAUGAGAAUAUUUAUAAGCACAUAUUUGUAAUAAAACUCACAAUAGUUUAAAUACCCAUCAACAAUAGGCUCUAUAAAUAAAUUAUUAUGUAGUUUUACAGUAGAAUAUUAUACUGAAAGAAAAUGAACAAAUUAUAGCAUAAGAAACAAUCUGUAUUAUUCUUAACAAACAUAAUGUUAAGCAAAAUGAGCAAGUAAAAUAAGAAUUCAUAUAAUCUGAUUCAUUUUAUAUAAGAUCCAAAAAGCAGGCAAAAUUAGAUGAUAUUGUUUAGGUUUGCUUGCAUAGAAGGUUAAAUCA
ensembl:lncRNA